UGAAUGAGGUGGAUUGUUCAGUGUAUAUUAAUUAUUUAUUUUCAUUUUACUUAAAAUAUAUGUUUUUGUUAAGUUAACAUGUGUUUUUCUAAUCAAGUCUACGUAAUUGUGUCUAUUAUUCACUGUACAUAAUACUAAUGUGUUACUUGAUGGCAUGACAUUUAAGUUAAGUCAAUUAGGAUCGAUAUACUUUGUAUAUCCACUAGGUGGCAGUAAUGCAAAAACAGUUGUAAUGAAACCGCGAAGAACAACAAGGUUUCACGGCUUGGGCCUGCUCAUGCGCAAGACUUCAAAUUUAACUUAAAAACGUUGUUUUGGCGCCAAGCUGCUGUUUCUUUGAGAGAUCCUGCCUUUACCUGCUCCCUCCUAUACUGAUGUGGUGUAUGUGGUACUGCUGAGCUUGUAUGUGAUCUGAACCAUUGUAAAGGUUGCAGUUCAAGGGCCUGAGGUGGAAGCAGAAUUUGUGAGGAUUACUACUGCUCCACUUGUUCCAAGGCUUUUUGCACAACUUGACCAAUACACUGACCAGCUCAUAAAAGUCUUCAAGAAAAAAGGAGGCGCUGCAGUGAAGAAAAUUAGACAAAUUUUAGCCCCACCCACAAAGGUGCGUUAUUCUGUUGGUAGCAAAAUAUUAUGGCUAAUAAGAUCACUUUCAAAUUUAAACAGCUAGUGUAUGGUAGCUGCACAGUGUACUUACAUUUAUAUUAAGCAAGACAAAGUUUGGUACUCAAAACUUUGGAAAAUUAAAAUUACCUAAACAUAAGUAAAAUCUGAUCCCUCAAUUUCGGGUUAAACCAUAAGUGAAUGUUUUUAUGUUAAAGAUCAGUUUUUGAAUGCAAAAACGAUGAUGUAUUAGUUUGUCUAUACCUCCAUUAUGGACAUAUAUAAUGUGGUGGAAACCCUACCCAACAGGUUAACUAUUCAUGUCCAUGUGAUGAUUAGUUGGUCUUGUGUACAUGUCUAUCUGUGCAGUGAAUAUGUCAUUCAUUUUGCGUAUAAUGUGAGUUUGUGUCAUCCUAAAGUAUAUCUGUUUUCUCUUCCUGUAUCUCUGCCACUCUCUACGGAAGGAAACUAUUGAAAAGGGGAGGGAGUGUGUCCUCAGGGCACUACCUUUUUACCUGAAUGAAGACCCAACCAUCCUCUUCAAAGAAUAAUUGCUACAGCUACAGCUGUUCAGAGGGAGCUGGAACAAAUUACCCUUGCUGUCUUCACCAUCGAAAAAGCUGAUGUCAGCACUCCUCCAGCCGAUGUGGGUAUAACCAUCUAGGGUGUUCUGCAUGACCUGGAAAACAUGGCCUUUGAAGUACUUCAGAAGCUCUUCCUUCAUCUGUAUGUCAGCAGACUCUUGACCAAGGUACAGAUGCUCAAGAAUAAACUGAAUGAAUAAGCCAACCCUUAAUUUGGAUGAUGAAUGUUCUGUCAGAUGGACAGAAGUUUUUCAGAGGCUGAAUGGGAAUAAAACGGUAAUUUGUUGAAAAUGACAGAUAAAGGGAAAAUUACAUUUAAGAGAAAUUUUGAAAACUUUGUAAACUACUACAAUUUGAGAGAUUUUACUCUUGUGGGGGAGGGGGGCUAGUAAGAGACAAUCAAAAGUAUUGAGAUUUAAAGGAUUUAAUUGAGAGAUGAUACUGCACCAGAAAUGUUGAAGGGUGGUGUGUAUAUUAGCGUUCAAGGUAUAUUGUUAUGAGGUGGAAAUAUGUUCAUAUUCUGUUUGUGUUACAUUGUGUGCAUUGUAAAGGUAAUUGCAAUACAUACUAAGAAUAAGGGUAAGUUAGGAAUGCAGGAUGAAUGUAUAUUUUGCGGACUUUUAAAGACGAACAAUUGUUUCCAUGUUAAAAUGUUUACAACCCAAGUUUUUUGCCCAAACACUGGUAAAAUAAACGUUGAGGGUGGCAAGUGUUAAAUGGUUACUGCUGUGCUGUUGCAAAAAAACUGAACGCUGACAAGCUGUUUUAUUGUUAGACCAUAAUGCUGGCAUGUUUUAUUAAAGUUUUAUUUGGGAUGGUGAUAUAAUUUUCUUUGAUUGCUAAUAUCAGUGGACUAUUUAUUAUUAUUAUUAUUAUUAUUAUUAUUACAACAUUAUUUUUUUUUAAUUGUGGCUGUUGAGGUGGACACUUCACUUUGCAUUGUUAAAGGAAAGCACUUCAUUGGCGUUGUGUUACUGGACUGACCCUAAGCAAUCAUUGCAAAUAGCAACUUUGCUAUCCAUUUUAGACACUAAAAGAAAAAACACUCCACAGACCUUACUAGCAUCACAUGUGCAUAACUCAAGUGUCAUUUUAUCAACAUGUUAUGUGGUCUUCAAUGUUUUUUUCUUCUAUUUCUGGCAGAUACAGACAUUUAAUUUAAAGUGUUGAUGUUCCAUCUGUCUACAUACUGUUAGUUACUAACCCUAAUGACCUGUUGUGUUUUAUUUUGGACUGGGUUUACACAAAUGCUCACUGAAUGUGUUGGCAAUAAAAGAAAUUUAAAAAAA